CAAUGGAGAUUCAUUUAGUCCUGAUUGUGUAUUACCUAUUUGUUUUUUUGGCACAACGUAAAGUGGAAUUGGAUGCACACUUCAAAGAAAAAUCCCCCCCUCCCCCUCAAAAUUUAUCAAACUGAAAACCUCCAUAGCAAACUUCUCUCUUUGCUCUCGACCAAAGGUCCAAAACCAUCGAACUGGAAAUCUAGCGCCCUCAACCAAAAUUUCUUGCGAAAUCUUCGCUCAAUCACUUGUAAUCCAGCACCCUCAGCUCAUAAUACUGAAAGCCCAGAAGAACCUCACCCAUCUCGCUCUGAAUAAAAUCUCAUUUCAUAUCUAAAACCUAUGGGGGACCUCCCUCUGAAAACCUAUGCUCUCCCUCUCUCUGGGUGUCUCUUCAUCGUUGUUGUCUCUCUCUCUUUCUCUCCUCGACCGCACCGGCACUCUCCCUCUCCCCUCGACGGUCGACGAUGCUCGCUCUUCUCGACAAGUGACGGCUAAGUCCCUCUCUCAAAUCAAUAACUUGAUCUGUUCCUCUCUCUCAGAUUCGAUCAAUAGCAUUCUGGGUUUUUAAUUCUUGUUCUUUUGUGAAAUAAUCUACUAGUAAUAUAUUGUAUAUCUGCUAGUUUCUGAGACUGCUCGUUUCGUUGGUUUUGAUGUGAUGAUGAGUUUUGAAUUUUGAUUAUGUGUGUAUGUUUUGCUUUGAAUUGAUAUUUGUUGAUAUAGAACGGUAAAUCUGAUAGUAAUUGCUUUGAAAUUGUUGUUGAACUAUGCUCUGCGCCUCUGGGUAUAUAGAUCCUCAGUGAAACUUUUGAAUUUUUGGGGGUUUGAUUUAUGUUAAGAUUGCAGGCUACGAUUGGAAUUGAUUUUCUGUCAAAAACGAUGUAGCUUAAAGAUCGGACAGUUCUUUUGCAGUUUUCGUUUGAAGAUUGGUAAUCUGAACUCUUAGAAUUGUGGAAGUCCUGAUUUGGUACAAGUACUAUGGAAACAUGAUAGACUCUUUGCAAAAGACUGGAUGCAAUAUUGUCUGUCGGUUUACACCUGAUGCCAAAACUGUAAAGCAGUUUAAAGAGAAGAUAGAUGAUGAAUAUUGAGUGAACAUAACAAGCAUUUACUGUCCUUAGCUGAAGACAGCUAAGGAAGCAGCAAAAUUUGCAGUUACAAGGAAGUGCUAUUGGAGUUGUAUCAACUGCUGGACUUGCGUGGAAAUAUUCAAGGAGUUUGCAUGUGCACGAUGUAUCGGUGAGGAUGAUUGUGAACCUGGACAAUCACAUUGCAGGAGCCACAUAUGUGCAAUAUCUAGAUACCAUGAGCUUAGUAUGUUUAUGAAUUGGCUUCCUCUGCAGCUGGCUUUGCUUAUCUCGUUUUUGCCCUUGGAAAGUUAAUGAAUAAAAAGGAAGAUCAGAGUCAGCUUUCUGCAAUUGCAAGGCAAGGUUCAGGCAGUGCUUUAGAGGAGACUUGAAAGUGCCAAUCAUAUAUCAGCUUUAUUUAGCAAAGGUAUUGGAUUAUGUGGCUGGUCGAAAGCUUAAGAAAGAUGAAGUGUGGCUAGUCGAGAGAGCAGUUUAGAGCACUAGAUGAUCUGGUAUUUUCAUAUUAUGUGGGUUUAACUUGUAGAAUUAUAGUUUGAUUGAUUGAUGUAAUGGGAUUUGGAUACUUGUACAUUUUCAAAUGAAAUUAAUUAUAGUGAUAAUGUGAUUGAAGUG